rnacentral:ncRNA from 2 species
UCCAUUCUAAAAGCGCCUGGACUAUUUCCGAAAACGGAUUGGGAGAUAGUUGACGAGGAGGAGGUUCAUCGAGAAUCGGCGGAUGCCUCCCGGCUGACGUACUUCAGCUGAUACGUACUCCCCUGAAAACAAAGAGGUGACUCUUUGCACAAGGGUGGAUACAAAGUACAAC